AGUGGUCUAGUGGUAUGACGUUUCCUUAGCACUGAGCCUAGAUAGGUAAAGUGGAAAAGGUUCAGGGUUCGAUUCCCUGCU
rnacentral:tRNA from 1 species